UCUCUACUUACUGUAAAAUGACAUGGUCCGUAUGUCCUGGGCACACAUUAAACAGGAUGGCAGGAGUCCCUGCGACAGUACUGGAUUACAUACUAGAUGUUCCUGGAUCUGUCUAGGUGGGUGAUUUUGGGCCUCUUUAGUCACUUGGCCUCUUUGGGUUUAGGAAGCUGAUCUGCAGGGUCAGGUAGAGACCCUCCUCCCCGCUACCAAAGCUUAAAGAGGUGGCCAGUGACCCAUGAAGAGCUCAGUCCAGUCCCACAGAGAUGCUUCCAGGCACAGAGCACAUAGGCUCUGCAGUUCUGGGUACCACUGGUCUCUUCCUUCUUCUCCAAGCACUUCUUUUCUCGGUGUAGAUAUAAUUCCAGAAGUCCUUACCAAACAGCUGAUGUUUGAGGUGUGGGGUGUAUUUUGACUUGGGGAAGGUGUUCUGUAGGCAGAGGGCAGAGGGCUUGCACCUCAGUAAUUAUGUGCAUCAGGGAACAGGUAAAGAAGGUGUAACCCAGCAGAAGUAUUGAGCCAAGAGCGGAGAAGACAGCCAGGUUGGAGCGGAUUUAGUGGGGCGCUGGAAGUGACCAAGUCCCGAAGAUCCAGUUGAGAAGCUCGGCUUCAAAGGGCCCCAGAGAGAGGAGGAGGCGUCGGUAGAGGGAGUCGGGGAGGGGUACAGCCCCCUGGGGAGGCAAGGGGACAUGGGACCCAGAGCACAGGUGGAAGGUUAGCCUACGAGAGGACAGCCAGCGCUUCCAUUUCAACAGGAGGGAAGGAAGCAAGGAAGGAUUCAGAUCCACCUGUAGGACUGGUGGCCUCAGUGGAUCUCCUAGACAUUUGAACCAGGGGUCGAUGGGAGCAUAGGGAGGUGACUGGGGAGCCCACCACAGGGGCAGGAAAAGCAAGGGUGGAGGGUGGGGGAUGGAGACAGUGCCUGUCCUGCCACCUGCUCUUCAGCCGUGAAAAGAGGCAUUGGGCACAGCCACACAGACAGGAAAGAGAGAGAGGACAGGAGAAGGAGGUCCUUGGAGGGCCGGCAAGGGAACAGUGCAAGCUGGCAAGUCCAGGAAGGCUUCCUGGAGGAGGUGGGACUGAGGACCUGGGCCUUGGAGGAUGGCCAAGACUCAGAUGUUCAGGGGAGGGAGGAGAACAGGAAACCACAUGUGCUGAGAACCCUGCUCCCUGCCUGAUGGCACCUGUCACAGUCUCACUGCAGCCUUUUGUCAGAGAAGUGACAAGACUUGCUUGAGGUCUUUGCGCUGGUAGAAGGGGAGCCGGUCCCUGGUUCGAGGCCGUGUGUCUCCAGGGUGUACCAUGCUGCACCCAAGGACCGUGUGGGCAAGCCAAGACCAUGGCUGGGCUGGCCAGAGCAGCUCUGACACCGGAGAAAUCGGGCCAGGGUGACAGCACUGGGGAGCCUGGAAAAGCUGCUGAUGGGAGGUGGCGAGAGCCGCGGGAGCUACUGUGUGGCUCUGAGUGGCAAGUGGCAUGGGCAACGGUCACCGGCGCUCAACCCCACGGAGCCGUGGGUGCCGCACACCUGACGUCCGGGAGGAGGUGCCGCGAGGACCUGUCAGCAUCCUCAGCAGCUGCUCCAGGCUGCAAGCCGAGGAAGGCAGCCGUCAGCUCUGCUGACAGAUUUCCGACGGGCCCUUCCAGGAUGUUCGCGUGCCUUCUCCAGCUACGCGUUCCCAGCUUCCACUGCUUCCCCUGCUGGUUUGAUUGAGACAGUCAUAGCGAGCGAGAGGGCAAGACUUUACACCGAGAGCGGAGCAGGGGGUGCGGGGAUGAGCGGGGGGCCUCCUCUGGGAGGAAUUUACCUUUUAAAACUGGAGGGGGAACAGGUGCUCUGGAAAUGGCUCGUAACUGCAUGAGGCCGGGACGGCGUUCCUGGAGGGGAAGGUGACUCAGAUUAACCGCGCUCCGCUGAAACUGAUGGCCUCCUGGCUCUGUCAUUAAAACAGGUGGCUGUCAUUACGGCCGCUCGCUCCUAAUGGGAAGAUAAUACAGGGGGAGAGAGAUUUAUACGGGCCCCAGAAAGAUGAAAUUGCACAUAAAGGAGGAACCAAGGCAUAAAGGGGGCCAAUUCGGGAAGUUUCUCGCCCCACAGGACAGCACGUGGUUCUCAUUAAUGGCGUAGCAUGUGCGUGGCUCUAUCCAGAGGGUUGCGUUACCUGCAGUGCUUUCCUUUAUGCAGUUUUAUUCAAGUUGCAUUUGGGAAAGAUAUUUCUUUUCCCUCUUUGGAUGUUUUUCUUCCAUUUAAGAAAGGAGCCGGUAUAAAAAUGUACUGCCUGUGAUGGAAUGUACCCCCUUCCUUUUCCUACAAAUAAUGUUGGCUGCCCAGGAGGCUGUGGGAAACCCAGAGUCUGCUCCAAACAAUGAUGAGGGCAUAAUGGGGAGCUCGGUGAGGUUCCCAAUGGGCCCACCUGCCCUAUUUUUUUUUUUUUCCUUAAAAAGAGGAAGUGUUUUUUUUUUUUUUAAAAAAAAAAACCAAAGCCAGAGUUCCUGUCAUGGCGCAGCUGAAAUGAAUCCAACUAGGAACCAUGAGGACACAGGUUCGAUCCCUGGCCUCACUCUGUGGGUUAAGGAUCCGGCGUUGCCAUGAGCUGUGGUGUAGGUUGCAGAUGCAGGUCAGAUCUGAUGUUGCUGUGGCUGUGGUGUAGGCCGGUGGCUACAGCUCCAAUUUGACCCCUAGCCUGGGAACCUCCAUAUGC
rnacentral:lncRNA from 1 species